AGUGAACGCUGGCGGUAGGCCUAACACAUGCAAGUCGAACGGCAGCACAGUAAGAGCUUGCUCUUACGGGUGGCGAGUGGCGGACGGGUGAGGAAUACAUCGGAAUCUACUUUUUCGUGGGGGAUAACGUAGGGAAACUUACGCUAAUACCGCAUACGACCUACGGGGGAAAGCAGGGGAUCUUCGGACCUUGCGCGGUUGAAUGAGCCGAUGUCGGAUUAGCUAGUUGGCGGGGUAAAGGCCCACCAAGGCGACGAUCCGUAGCCGGUCUGAGAGGAUGAUAGGCGACACUGGAGCGGAGACACGGUCCAGACUCCUACGGGAGGCAGCAGUGGGGAAUAUUGGACAAUGGGCGCAAGCCUGGCCCAGCCAUACCGCGUGGGUGAAGAAGGCCUUCGGGUUGUAAAGCCCUUUUGUUGGGAAAGAAAAGCAGCAGGUUAAUACCCCGCUGUUCUGACGGUACCCAAAGAAGAAGCACCGGCUAACUUCGUG
rnacentral:rRNA from 1 species